UCCUCCUCUCCGUCUCCCAACCCCAUUCAGACGCGGUCGCCCCUAGCCUAGCGCGCGCGCGCGGACGCCCCCUAGCCAACAAUGCCGUGCCAUCCAACCCCUGCCGCCGCGCGCUUCGGCGGCGUCACAUCCCGCCGCCACGCGGAGCUGCUCCUCCACAGCGGCGUCGACGGCGUCUCUGUCAAGGACCUCCGCCUCCGCCGCGUCGUCCCGCCCGCCGCCGAUUCCCUCGACACCUCCCCCGAGUGCGCCGUACCCGUGAAGCCCGGAUCUGGCGAGAGCACGCCUCCGGAGGCCGUGUCGUCUGCUGCUGCUGCUGCGGCUGCGGCGGCGGCGGCCGGGGACCUUGACCGCAAGUUGGUGCCCCCGCGGUCCAAGCUCGUCCGCGACCCGCGCUCGUUUGGGUACCGGCGCCUGCUGCCUUUCCUGAACGAGAUGACGAAGAACGAUAGCUCAAUCGGCAAGGAGGUGCUCCCGCAAGACACGGCUGUGUCGCACCCAAAGGAUGGGCUCGGCGGAUCUGAUUCUCGGUUGGCUGAUGGAUCUGUAGGCGUUAGCCACUGCGAACCUGAAGCCAUGGAUUCCGUGGAGCCGGUGGUGGUGAACACCGGAGGAGACGCCGAUGUGAAGGAUGCCUGCAACAAUGUCGCGGAAGAGAUCAAGAUUGUCCCUCAUGACCUAACCAACAAGCCGUUGCUUGCCCGAUGCACAAGGUCGAGGUUUGUUCAUCAUCCAAGCUCGUUCAGCUACAAGAGGAUGCUGCCAUUUCUCAUGGAGAAUGAAAUCUCUGCUCAGGAAAGUGACAGGGUCAAAAUUCGAAAAAUUGCAGAGGAAAGGCAGCCAGCAUCAAAUGAGAAUGAUGCCUCAGCCAGUGGGCAGCAGUCUCUUGCUAUCUCUGACGACUCUUCUGUGGAAUGCAAUGGAGCUCAAGCUGAAACAAUGGAAGAAGAAAAGCCACCAAAAGCAGAUGAGAAUCAUGUUCUUGAUGACAGACAGCUUCAGUCUCCUGUUAUAGAAGCAUCUCCUCCUGAAUGCAGUGCAGUUGAAAUGCAAAAUGUCACGCAAAAUGAAGCUUUAGCUUCAAGUCAAGCCCCCCUAACUUCUUUUGAGGGUGAAUUAACAUCAGAUGGGGACAAUGUCCAGGCCGUUGGACAACAUCAGCUUGUUGUACCAGAAGAGUCUCCAGAGGAAUGCAAAAGAGAUGAAGUCAAAAGAAGCAUUCACGAUGAAGCAGUAAAAUCAGACGGGGGCUAUGCUCUGGAUAGCAGAGAAUUUCAGCCUGCUGCAUCAGAAGUCUCUUCAGAAAACAGCAUGGCUGAAGUGCAAGGGGCUGCACAAGAAGAACCGUUACCCUUAGAUGGAGUUGAGGAAAAUUCAGACAAGGGUGACUAUGUUACCAAAGAGCAGGCUCAGCUCUGUGCCACAAAUGAAUCCUUGGCUGCACAGCUGCAAGAUAAUGCUGAAUUCGCUGAAGUGCCACAGUGCCAAAACUUGGACUCAGGAUGUCAUGAUGUUGGAUUUGGUAGCCCUACCAAGAGAGUGAUACCAUUGUUGCAUCGGCAUUGUGCACAACAACCUCAGGAUUCUGUGGUUUCUCUUGAUGAUCAGCUUCUUGAUGAUGACAUACAAAUGGUCUGCAGACCUUCUGAUCCCUGUGCUGUUGACAGAUCCUUAUCAGUGGAGGAAAUGUCUGGAUGUAUUUCGUUCACUGAAUCACCAUCAAGCAAAGCAGGCAGAUCAUGGCCGAGUGGCGCCCAUUCAAUGGGAAAAAGAGCUCUGUCUCCUAAGAAGCUUUCUCCAAAGAAAGGAAUACUCAAGAGGAGUACAAGGGGGUGUAAGGGUAUCUGCAUGUGCUUGGACUGCUGUUCGUUUCGUCUACAUGCUGACCGAGCUUUUGAGUUCUCUAGGAAGCAGAUGAAAGAAGCAGAUGACAUAAUAGGUAACUUACUGAAGGAGGUGUCCAGUCUUAGGAGUCUGCUGGAGAAGCCUGCUGGCCAAGUAAUUAUAAAUCCAUGCAUUUCAGCGGGAAUCAACACAAGCUGCUUGUAGACAAGCCUCUCGGGUGGAGGAGGUGGCCAGAAACCGUUGCCAUCAGAUGUUCGUGGAUCUAAAUUCCCACUGCAGAAUCCCUGGACCAAGGGUUAGAUUCACCGAAUAUGUUGAGGAAAAGAAGGCUUCAUCAUCUCCACGCAGGAGCAACCGGAGGUGACUUAAUUUCAGAAGCUGGUGGUGACCUGAUCUGACCUGCUGGCCUAGACAUUGUGUUACUGACUUCUUCAGUACAUAAUUUUGUGCUGCUUGGUGAACCCUGUGCAUGUCUUUUGAAUGCAAUGUGAUGUGCUGUGGACAGGGAUGGUUGAGUGGUCCUAGGCACAGAAGGAAGAUUGAAAUGAAAUGAAAUGUGGCUGGAGUUUUUGCGAACUGGAACAUGUUUGUCUGCAAACUUUUAGUGGUGAUAUGGUGGUACGUUGGUUGUGAGGCCGGCUUGCGUUGAUGUUUGUACUAAAUACUAUGUACUCCCUAUAUUCCAAAUUGUAAGUUGUUUUUUACUUUUUAGAUAUAAUAUAGCUUUUGUUGUAUAUCUAGAUAUACACAAUGUCUAGAUACAUAGUAAAAGCUGUGUCUAGAAAAGCCAAAACGAUUUGGAAUUUGGAAAGGAGGGCAUACAAUUUAUAUAUACAUAGCAUCGCCUCA